UGAAUACGAGAUGCUACGGCGUCGAAGCAGUGUAUGUCAGACUUCCAAGAAAAGCUCGCAAGGUCAUAAAUAAAGAAUGCCUGUACCAUAACCGACACAGGUGGGUAGGUAGAGUAUACUAAGGGGCGCGAGAUAACUCUCUCUAAGGAACUCGGCAAAAUGACUCCGUAACUUCGGGAGAAGGAGUGCCUUAUUUAUAAGGUUGCAAUAACAAGAUCCAAGCAACUGUUUAUCAAAAACACAGGUCUCCGCUAAGUCGUAAGACGAUGUAUGGGGGCUGACGCCUGCCCAGUGCCAGAAGGUUAAAGAAGUUGGUUAGUGUAUGCGAAGCUGAUGACUGAAGCCCUGGUGAACGGCGGCCGUAACAAUAACGGUCCUAAGGUAGCGAAAUUCCUUGUCGGGUAAGUUCCGACCCGCACGAAAGGCGUAAUGAUUUGGAUACUGUCUCGGAGAGAGGCUCGGUGAAAUAGACUUGUCUGUGAAGAUGCGGACUACCUGCACCAGGACAGAAAGACCCUAUGAAGCUUUACUGUAACUUGAAAUUGGAAUUGGACUUUGCUUGCGCAGUAUAGGUGGGAAGCGUUGAAGAUAUUCUUGCGGGAGUAUUGGAGCUAUCAGUGAGAUACCACUCUUGUAAUGUUAGAUUUCUAACUUUGAACCAUAAUCUGGUCAAAGAACAGUUUCAGGUGGGCAGUUUGACUGGGGCGGUCGCCUCCCAAAUGGUAACGGAGGCGUACAAAGGUUUCCUCUGAACGGAUAGAAAUCGUAUCUAGAGUGUAAAGGCAUAAGGAAGCUUGACUGUGAGACCUACAAGUCGAGCAGGGACGAAAGUCGGUCUUAGUGAUCUGACGGUACUGAGUGGAAAGGCCGUCACUCAACGGAUAAAAGUUACUCUAGGAUAACAGGCUGAUCUCCCCCAAGAGUUCACAUCGACGGGGAGGUUUGGCACCUCGAUGUCGGCUCAUCGCAUCCUGGGGCGGUAGUACGUCCCAAGGGUUGGGCUGUUCGCCCAUGAAAGCGGUACGCGAGCUGGGUUCAGAACGUCGUGAGACAGUUCGGUCCAUAUCCGGUGUAGGCGUUAGAAUAUUGAGAGGAGCCUUCUUUAGUACGAGAGGACCGAGAAGGACACACCGCUGGUGUACCAGUUAUCGUGCCAACGGUAAACGCUGGGUAGCUAUGUGUGGAGUGGAUAACCGCUGAAAGCAUCUAAGUGGGAAGCCCACCUCAAGAUGAGUAUUCUCAUC
rnacentral:rRNA from 1 species